rnacentral:rRNA from 1 species
CCUACGGGCGGCAGCAGUGGGGAAUAUUGGACAAUGGGGGAACCCUGAUCCAGGCAUGCCGCGUGUGUUAAGAAGGCCCUCGGGUUGGAAAGCACUUUCAGUGAGGAAGAACGCCUGGUGGUUAAUACCCAUCAGGAAAGACAUCACUCACAGAAGAAGCACCCGCUAACUCCGUUCCAGCAGCCGCGGUAAUACGGAGGGUGCGAGCGUUAAUCGGAAUUACUGGGCGUAAAGCGCGCGUAGGUGGCUUGAUAAGCCGGUUGUGAAAGCCCCGGGCUCAACCUGGGAACGGCAUCCGGAACUGUCAAGCUAGAGUGCAGGAGAGGAAGGUAGAAUUCCCGGUGUAGCGGUGAAAUGCGUAGAGAUCGGGAGGAAUACCAGUGGCGAAGGCGGCCUUCUGGACUGACACUGACACUGAGGUGCGAAAGCGUGGGUAGCAAACAGGAUUAGAUACCCUGGUAGUC